rnacentral:rRNA from 1 species
CCUACGGGUGGCAGCAGUUAGGAAUAUUGGUCAAUGGGCGGGAGCCUGAACCAGCCAAGUCGCGUGAGGGAAGACGGUCCUAUGGAUUGUAAACCUCUUUAGGCGGGGAGCAAUGCCGGGCACGCGUGCCCGGAGGGAGAGUACCCGCAGACUAAGCAUCGGCUAACUCCGUGCCAGCAGCCGCGGUAAUACGGGGGAUGCGAGCGUUAUCCGGAAUCAUUGGGCGUAAGGUGUUCGUAGGCAGCAUGUAAAGUCAGGUGUUAAAGGCGCAGGCUCAACCUGUGUAUGGCACUGGAUACUUGCAAGCUGGAAUGCGGUAGAGGUAAAGGGAAUUCCUGGGGUAGCGGGGAAAUGCUUAGAUAUCAGGAGGAACAUCGGUGGCGUAAGCGCUUUACUGGGCCGUAAUUGACGCUGAGGAACGAAAGCCAGGGUAGCAAAUGGGAUUAGAUACCCGAGUAGUC